rnacentral:rRNA from 1 species
GCGGUUACACUUGUUCUUCAACUCAAAGAUAAAAUGCGAAUUAAAAUUAAUUUUUUUGUCUAAUAAAGUUCAAUAAUCAAGAUUUCAAAAUUUAUUAAUUAAGUUGGAUUAGUACCCAAUUAAAGAGUUGGAUGAAGUUAGGUUAAACCUAAAUUAAAUGGCAGUACUAUCAGAAUGCAGAGAAAUUUGAAGUUAAGAAAAUCCCCUUUAUUUUUGAUUUCUUAAAGGUUUAAGUAUGGCUGUCCAAAAAUAGGCCUCUGCUUAAAUUUGUAGUCAAGUAACAUUUAACUUAAGAGAUAACUUUGAAUUGCAAAAAAAUAGUUAUUAAGAGUAAGUUAAGAAUUAGGAUUUGCAAGUAAAGAUACAAUAUUUGAAAAAAUUUAAGUACA